rnacentral:rRNA from 1 species
CGGUGUGCUUCACACAUGGCAAGUCGAACGAGGUAGCAAUACCUAGUGGCGGACGGGUGAGUAACGCGUGGGAAUCUGCCUUUAGAUGGGGGAUAACGGGUCGAAAGACUCGCUAAUACCGCAUAUGACGAAAGUUGAAAGGAGUAAUCCGUCUAAAGAUGAGCCCGCGUCCGAUUAGCUAGUUGGUAGAGUAAAAAGCCUACCAAGGCGACGAUCGGUAGCUGGUCUGAGAGGAUGAUCAGCCACAAUGGGACUGAGACACGGCCCAUACUCCUACGGGAGGCAGCAGUGGGGAAUUUUACGCAAUGGGCGAAAGCCUGACGUAGCGACACCGCGUGAGCGAAGAAGCCCCUUGGGGUGUAAAAGCUCUGUCAGCUGGAACGAAAAAAAUGACGGUACCAGCAGAGGAAGCAUCGGCUAACUACGUG